rnacentral:rRNA from 1 species
UACGUAGGGGGCUAGCGUUGUCCGGAAUCAUUGGGCGUAAAGCGCGUGUAGGCGGCCCGGUAAGUCCGCUGUGAAAGUCGGGGGCUCAACCCUCGAGACGCCGGUGGAAACCAUCAGGCUAGAGUCCGGAAGAGGAGAGUGGAAUUCCUGGUGUAGCGGUGAAAUGCGCAGAUAUCAGGAAGAACACCCGUGGCUAAGGCGGCUCUCUGGGACGGUACUGACGCUGAGACGCGAAAAGCGUGGGGGAGCGAACAGG